CACAUAGUGAGGUGCAUGACAAUGAGAAUGACUGAAUCGCCUCUAAACUUGUGUGAAUGAAGAGAAAAAAAGCCAUCAAUUCCUCUGAGUUGAACUUCACAUCUACAUUGAGGUGCCCUUGAAAAUUAAGAAAGAAAAGCAAUAGAUGAGAGCAAAUCUUGGCCUAAAUGGAUUGAAUGGACUGGAGACGAGGCUUGCAAAACUCGAAUACAGCCUUAUUAAAUAGACUUAGAUUUCCAAAGAAAGAUUGUGUUCACAGGAAGGGAGGAUGACAAUGUAGUAAAAGGAAGAUUACAAAGGCAAACCCUAGCAAUGCCUAUCCACACACUGUGGAGGAACCUGUGGGCUCUAGAAUUGUGGCUCCAUUACAAUUCAGUUCGGCCCUUCCCUCUGAAUCUGUGGUGAUCAAGCGAUCUUCUGAAUUUCUUAAGACCUGCUAUGAAAAAUAAAUAAGGAUUUUGAAGUUAUCCAUGGACUUUUGGAGUAUUGUUAAUGAGAAGUCCAGAAUCAUCAUGAUUUUCAGUAUUUGAUAUGUGACUUGUUCUUGCUAGAACCUUAUG